rnacentral:rRNA from 1 species
GUGCCCAUAGCGGCGGGGAAACGCCCGUUCCCAUUCCGAACACGGAAGCUAAGCCCGCCAGCGCCGAUGAUACUGCGGGGGCAACCCCGUGGGAAAGUAGGUCGGUGCC